AAAUUAUCAACCAUGACUUGGGUUUAGGCCCUCGUUCUUGGCUUGGAUUUGGGUGCUUGCGGUCUUGUGCUGCUCACCUUAAAAGGAUUAGCUGGACAUGUCUUUUGACUUGGUUCUACUUGGCGUAAUAAGUAUUUCGCUGAGGACAUCCCUUCUGGGGUGGCCAAGACUCUGGCAAACGUCUGCUUUCUAACUCGACUGUCUUCGGACAUCACUUUUUAUG
rnacentral:misc_RNA from 1 species